ACGCUUUCGGGUGCCGCCUCCGGUGCAAGUCCCCCUGACCGGGGCUCCCACCCCGAGAGGGUGCAAGGCCCGUAGCGGCCGGAAGGCGGUCCCGGAUGUCCUCUCCCGGGAGUCGGGUUGCUUGAGAGUGCAGCCCCAAUCAGGUGGUAAACUCCAUCUAAGGCUAAAUACGACCUGGAGACCGAUAGCGAACAAGUACCGUGAGGGAAAGUUGAAAAGGACUUUGAAGAGAGAGUUCAAGAGUACGUGAAACCGUUCGGAGGUAAACGAGUGGGCCCUCGAAGUGUGAAGGCGGGGGGACUCAGCCGAACGCCGUCGAGCCCGCCGGCGGGUCCGCGCUUCCCUCCCGGGACGCGGCCCGCCGGUGUGCUGGCUCCGGCUUGCGGCGCAUUUCCUCCCGUCCUCCGACGCCGCGACCGGUCGGGCGCGCCACGAGCAGUCGGCCUUACUCGCGGGAAACGGAAGGUAGCCGGGUCGGCGCGCACGCGCCGCUCCCCGGUGUUCUAGCCGUCCCGCAAUCGAGUCAGCCGUUCGCCCGACCGCAGGAACCAAGGCCCUCAGGGGCCCCGCCGUGCCCUCCCCGCUCGGGGAUCGCUUCCCGCCUCGGAAGGGAUGCCGCUUGUCUCCGCGCCGCACCUCCGGUGCGCGCGGGGCGGCGGCGCCCGCUGGCCGGGGCGUUUGCGAUUCGGGUGCUGGCGGUCUGCGGCGAGUAGGUCGGUCACCCACUCGACCCGUCUUGAAACACGGACCAAGGAGUUUAACAUGCACGCGAGUCACUGGGUCGUGAGCAGGCCCAAGGGCGCAAUGAAAGUGAAGGGCGGCCCAUGCCGUCCGCGUUGGGAUCCUCCGGCCUCCGUGCCGGGGGCGCACCAACGGCUCGUCCGGGCCGCCACGU
rnacentral:rRNA from 1 species